rnacentral:rRNA from 1 species
AUUGUAGGGUUUCCUUUGAUUUUGGGGAAAUAAAAGUAUUAUAAUCGAUUACACAUGCUAAUGGGAGUUUACAAGUGAAGAAAUAUGAUAUAAAAAUCAAGUUAUAUUAAGAAAGUAAUAGUAAUAAGUUACUAUCUUAUUAUGUAUAGCUUAAAGCCACGCUUUUACUGAAACAACGAAAAGACAAUAGGCAGCAGUGAAAAAUUUUAUACAAUUAAUUUAUAUUAGAUAUAGAGAUUAUUAUUAGUUUUGUCUAAUUACGUGCCAGCAGACGCGGUUACACUUAAGAGACAAACUUUUAUUUAUAAAAAGGUUAUAAAUAUGUGUAGGUAUGUUUAGUAAAAUUAUGAAAUUUGAUAAAUUGGUAAAAUAAAUAUUAAACAGAAUCUCAAGUAAAAUCAUGAUUUUUAAAAAACUGAAACAUUGAAGAUAGGUUAAUAAACAGGAUUAGAUACCCUGGUAACCCUUUCCCUAAAUAAAGAACAAUUCUACCUGAAUAUUACAAUCGCAAGAAAGAAAGUCAAAAAAUCUGGCUGUUUGCUUUCCACUUAGAGGAGCUUGUAUAUUAAAUCGAUAGUCCACGAAGUACCUUACCUGUUCUUGAUACCCAGGUGCUGCAUGGUCGUCUUAAGCUUAUUUAUAAAAUUAUAGGCUAAAUCCUAAAAAGGAAUAAGUCAGGUAGUAUGGCCCUUAUGAGCAGGUUUAAUAUGCGCUACAAUUUUUAGUUUAAUUUAAAAUUAAAAAUGGAAAUUUAUUGAAAUUUGAAUUAUAAAGAGGAUUUAAAAGUAACCAAAUAUAAUAGCGAUUUGGUGAAUAGGUUCAAGCAUUAGUACAAAUUGCCCGUCACCUUUGUUUGAUUAGUUUGUGAGGAAAACUUUGGUUUACUCAAAAUACCAAAAUAAAGCAAGUCGUAACAUAGUGAGAAGAAGGGAACUUCUUCUUGCAGAGUAUCUUAAGGAAAUAUUAAA